rnacentral:rRNA from 1 species
UACGAAGGGGGCUAGCGUUGUUCGGAAUUACUGGGCGUAAAGCGCACGUAGGCGGAUUUUUAAGUCAGGGGUGAAAUCCCGAGGCUCAACCUCGGAACUGCCUUUGAUACUGGGAAUCUUGAGUCCGGGAGAGGUGAGUGGAACUGCGAGUGUAGAGGUGAAAUUCGUAGAUAUUCGCAAGAACACCAGUGGCGAAGGCGGCUCACUGGCCCGGUACUGACGCUGAGGUGCGAAAGCGUGGGGAGCAAACAGG